GUAGUCUCGCACAGAUGCAUAUCAAUAAGCGGAGGAAAAGAAACUAACAAGGAUUCCCUUAGUAACGGCGAGUGAAACGGGAAGAGCUCAAAUUUGAAAUCUUCAAGGUUUUACCUUGACGAAUUGUAGUUUAAAGAAGUGUUUUCUGUUGAAGUUUUGGUAAAAGUUCUUUGGAAUAGGACAUCAUAGAGGGUGAGAAUCCCGUAUUUGACCAUUAUUUUCAGCUGUGUGAUACACUUUCAAAGAGUCGGAUUGUUUGGGAAUGCAGUCCAAAAUGGGUGGUAAAUUUCAUCUAAAGCUAAAUAUUGGCGAGAGACCGAUAGCGAACAAGUACCGUGAGGGAAAGAUGAAAAGAACUUUGAAAAGAGAGUUAAAUAGUACGUGAAAUUGUCAAAAGGGAAGCGUUUAACACCAGUGUUGUUUUCUGAAAAUCAACCUCUGGUAGCUUUAUGCAUGUUUGUUUAGACCUAAUCAGCUAUCUUGCAUGUUCUAUUGUUUGCAGUGGUGCACUUUUCAGUUUACAGGUCAACAUCAGUUUUUUUUACCGUAAAAAAGUUAAAGAAAGGUAGCUCAUGGCUCCGGUCGUGAGUGUUAUAGUCUUUUUCCUAUGCGGUAGGAGAGACUGAGGUCUGCAGUGUAGGCUAUUUGGCUAGAUACUCAGGUGCUAUGUGAUACCAUUUCAUAAACAACUUGUUGAUUAUGUUUUGUCUAUUGCAUACUCGCUUGUACUAUCAUACCUACGCUUAGGAUGUUGAAGAUGUAGCACAUCAU
rnacentral:rRNA from 1 species